rnacentral:lncRNA from 1 species
AUGAAGCAGCUGUUUUUCAACUCCCACACAACCACCAGCACACAGGAUCAACCACCAGACUCUCUCCACACACUGGAGUCAUCAGGACUGAUGGAAGAGGCUACAGAGGGACCCUGUGGCACAUCGGACACACCCCAAAAUAGGACCUCACAGAUGUCUGCAGGGUCAGUCAGCCUGUUGGAGUUCCAUGCAGAUCUGCUACAAUCACCACCUGCCUCCUUACCACAAAGUGCUCUACUACUAGGCAUCCCUAAAACAAAGUCUGAGGUGAGCAGGAGUCAAGGAACCACACGUAUCAAAGGAAUCAGUGAAGGGAUAAAUUCAGUUCAUUUGGUCCUGUCUUCUCCAGGCCAGAAACCUUCCCAGAAGCCGGCCAUAGCUCAGCUAGCAGGGACUACCAAAGUGGUGUCCAUGUCCAUGAGGCCACAGCCUCCCUCUAAGCCCAGGUCAGAGAGGCCAGCAACAGGGACCAGGAUGUUUAUAUACAAGAGCAAGAAGGAGUCAGAGCAGGUGUCGGAGAAGGAAGCGGCAGAGAGGCGCAUCCGGAGAUCCAACUUCUUCAGCAGAUGUCUGGCUCUGAGCUCGGACAACACCGAUGACAGCAGGAACAGUGAGGACUCGGGCUCCGAGCCAUCCCACGGGAAAGCCCCACAGAAGGUCAAGAAAAAGAAAAGGAGGAAUCAGAAAGAUAGGUCUACGCAUGCACCAAGGACGCCCACUGACGACAGAAGCUCAAAGAGCCAGAGGAGUACCAUGGCCCCUAACAGUAUCCACAGUGUCAAGUCCACCACAGAGCUGCUGGAGGAGGCACGGGGCAUUGUAGGGGCCGAGGUUGCAGAGAGCCAGGAGGACACGGACCCCCAGCAGAGACACCCAGAGGAGUCAGUGGCCACGACUAUGGGGCUUGUCAGAGGCAGAGGGAGGACGGUGGAUGAGAUCAUUGCCUCCUUACAGAGAGGAGACAGUGAUAUGCCAUCUGCCUCGGACCAGAUGAUCAAGGAGCUGAUGGAAAGAGUGCUGGGGGACAGCUACAAUGCUGACAACGAGGAAGAAAAAACAGUGGAAUCAGAGGAGAGAGAAGAGAAUAUUAGCCAUGUACCAACAGAGGAUACUCCUCAGAGGUCCCCGGUUCCACAGAGGAUGUUGUGGGUUAAGAGGGAUUCUCCUACCCCUCCAAGACCUGCUGAGUCCCCUAAAGUCACAUCAGGGGUCUACAAGAUCGCUCACUCACUGUCUGAACGAGAGACAGACGGCGAUGACUCUAUGGUCUCUGCUCUUCCACAGAAGGUGACUUAUGCAGAUGUAAUGACAGCUCGAGGAGAUACCAUAGCUCCUUCUCAGAGACCAGCGAGGGUGUCUUUACAAAACAAAACCAUUCAAGGCCUCUCCCCUCUAGCAACAUGGGCCCCCAAAGCACAUGCAGAUGGGUACAAGACCAUUCACCACCUCUGUACAACCCCAGUCAGCCAGGCCCUGCCUCUGGAGCUGCAGCUGGCUUCCCGGGUCUGUCACACCUCCAGCCAACUCAGUGCACCACCACAGUUUCACCAACAGAGGGCAGCACUACAACACAUCGCUGCCCAGCCUGACAGACACAGGAUAUUAAAUGAAGGUGUGCCCCGCGUGGAGGUGACUGAGUCUGAUGGAAAGGACUGUGUGAGUCACCUGCCUCCCCAGACUUCAGACAGCCUGGCUGACUGGCAGAGGAUCGCUGAGUUUUACGUAGAGAAGCCCAGGAUGAUGCUUCAUGGACAGGCGGUGAGGAGGAUCAGCACUAUGUUUAUACAACUUUCCCCUCCAAACAUUUUGUCUAGAAAGUGUUUCACCAUCCAACAAGAUGAUCCACUAGGUGGCACCAAACAUAUUUGUAACUCAUUAGAAACAGGAGUCUGGGGACUGCUUAUAACAUGA